rnacentral:rRNA from 1 species
UACGGAGGGGGCUAGCGUUGUUCGGAAUUACUGGGCGUAAAGCGCACGUAGGCGGCUUUGUAAGUUAGAGGUGAAAGCCCCGGGGGCUCAACUCCGGAAUUGCCUUUAAGACUGCAUCGCUAGAAUUGUGGAGAGGUAAGUGGAAUUCCGAGUGUAGAGGUGAAAUUCGUAGAUAUUCGGAAGAACACCAGUGGCGAAGGCGACUUACUGGACACAUAUUGACGCUGAGGUGCGAAAAGCGUGGGGAGCAAACAGG